UUUUACAGUGGAGAGUUUGAUCCUGGCUCAGGAUGAACGCUAGCUACAGGCUUAACACAUGCAAGUCGCGGGGCAGCAUGAAGGAUGCUUGCAUUCUUUGAUGGCGACCG
rnacentral:rRNA from 1 species